AAAGCUAUGGUCCCAUUAAGAAAGGGCAGUCUUGAAGAAAAUUCUAAAUUAAUAAAUUAAAUGAAAUUUUCCAGAAGGAAGGAAGGAAGGAAGGAAGGAAGGAAGGAAGAAAGAAAGAAAGAAAGAAAGAAAGAAAGAAAGAAAGAAAGAAAGAAAGAAAGAAAGAAAGAAAGAAAGAAAGAAAGAAAGAAAGAAAGAAAGAAAGAAAGAAAGAAAGAAAGAAAGAAAGAAAGAAAGAAAGAAAGAAAGAAAGAAAGAAGAAAGAAAAAGGAUGUAUGUAUGGAUGGAUGGAUAGAUAGAUAGAUAGAUAGAUAAGAAAGAGAAGACUGUCAAUAGGCAAUUAUGAGGAAGGAAUGCUUGAAACACAUGGAAGAGACCGUUUGUGGUGUCAAAAAACAUGAGAGCUG
ensembl:lncRNA